AGCACUGCCGCCUCCGCCUCCCCCUCACGCCGUCCCCGUCGCCUCGCGCCGCCGCCUCCACCCCCGCCGCCGCCUCCCCAUCGCGCUGCCACCUCCGCCUCCCGCCGUCCCCAUCGCCGGCCGAGCUGCCGCCGUCCGUCUCCCCUCCGCCCUCUCUUCCCCCACUCUCUCCUUCUCCCUUUCCCUCUCCCUCCGCCGUCUCCUCCCCCACCCUCGCCUCCGCCUUCCCCUCGCGCCAUUGCCUCCGCCUACGCAGCCGCUGUCGUCGCGUCACCGUCUCCAAGCGCCUCUGCUUCCGCAUCCCCCUCGCGUCGUCGCCAUCAUCGUCCCCGUCGCCCUGCGCCGCUGGCGCCAUUGCGUCGCCGUCUCCGACCGCCGUCACCGAGUGCAGCCGUCUCCGCCUCCGGCAUCCGUCAACGACGAGGUCGGAGCGCCGACGGCUGCAUCACAGGCGGCGCGAAAAGCUGAGGGCCCAAUCCUGGCGGCGGGACUGCCGCGAGGUUCCGGACGCAUCAACUCGAGGGGGAGACGGCGGAGGGAGUGGGGGUUGAGGCGGGCGCGGUCUUCGUCCUCCCGGCGCCAGAUCUGCUUCUCAUCUCCACAAGGACACCCCAGCCCACCACUCAUCGGCGUCGCCAUGGUCGUCGGCGUCGCCCUCACUGUCGCCGUCGCCAACAGACUGCGUUAAGAAGCCACUUCACCACCAGCAGCAGCAGGGGCAUCCACCGUACGCCGCACCAAUGCCUUCCCCUUCCCUCCCAUCUGUGCCCUCUGGGUCACAGGUAGUCGCUUCAUCGGCAGCCGCGUUGCCGUCAAUGUACAAGGCCAAUGACCAGCAGCGAGCAACUCAUGGCACCAGAGACGGCGGUGGCGACGGUGACUACUAAACUCUUGGCACAGGAGCUUACAAAGGAUGUGCAGGUGAACUCUAGAAGAAAGUUCGAAAAAUGGGACAUUGCAAUCACAACAUUGGAACCUAAUAUCAACACUAUGCUCAUUGCCAUAGUGCCAAGUAAAGAAAGGGACUACAAUGCUUAUUCAAAGGAUUAUAUGUCUUCCAUAGUGAAGCAGUCUUGCACUAAUACUAGAAGCUGCUUUAGAGAUGGAGACAUCCCAUCAAAAAUCUGCAAUUACCCAAUGAUGUUGUGCCUGAGGAUCAUAUAAAUGACUCUGAUCAAUCCUCCACCUUAGCUGGUUGCUCUGCUUGCUGUGACCAUGCCACGACAUCCGAAAACACAGAGGACCAGAGCCAAUGCAUUUGGGUAAUGUCUCAAAAUUUGUUUUGUAUUUGGUGGUUUCGGCUUUUUUGGUUGAAGGAAUCUGCAAUAUAUCAUGCUUCCCCAAUGAGUGAGCCAUUUUUUCCCCAUGGUUACUUAAUAUUUCAGAUUUGUAUUUCUAUACAUGUGGCACCUUUUCAUUCCAGUGUUGUGCUUGAGGAUCAUAUAAACGACUCUGAUCAAUCCUCCACCAUAGCUGGUUGUUCUGCUUGCUGUGACCAUGCCAUGACAUCUGAAAACACAGAGGACCAGGUUUGACACCUUUGGAUUGCAUACCAGAAUUUUCCAUGUUCUUCAGCUCUCAAUAAUUCAUCUUCAGAGGAGAAAGGGAAGUGAGGAAAAUUUGUAAGUGAAGAAUUUGACAGAUUGCGACGGGCACCAGUUAUGCUGGAGUCCAGGAGUUGGAGCCAUGCAAACAUGCAUCAUGCUAAUGUCGUCCUGAGCUUCCAGAUUAGGCCCUGCUGUAUUGAUCAAUAUAUUCAGGCUGGAGGCUAUAGAAAAAUAUUUCAGCCUUGAAACAGUCAAGGACAUUGUGGAAGCCAUGGAAAGUGAAGCAUCUAAGUUAGAUGAGGAUUGUUGUACCUUGGCCAUGAAAUGAUUGAGAGAGCCCUAUCCAGUUCUGUUGAGAGCCUCACAGUGUUUGAUGAAUUGCAAGCUACAAAUGCUUUGCUGUAGAUAUGAAUUGCAAGCUUACAGAAAAGGUUGUGCACUGUGGGCUAAAAAGUCCCAUUAACCAGGAAGGAUGUGAUGCGAUGCUGAAUCUAAUAUUGGAAAGUCGAGCCCUUUGUUCUUCAAUUGUCCUAUUUGCAAAGAUUAUGACCUUUAAAUUUGUCAUCAAUUAUUUAUGACACCAAUGCAUUCUCUUGGUGUAUGUACCAAAGCAAUUUGUACGCGGAAUUACUUAUAUUUUUUAUAUAAUGAAAGCAUUGUGUUCAUGUUUGAACUAAUAGUGUAACAAACUGAGGUUUUAGUAGGGGAUGCUUUGCAUUGAUAAUAAAGUGCCCAUUACUUUGUAGUUA